rnacentral:rRNA from 1 species
CCUACGGGAGGCUGCAGUGGGGAAUAUUGGACAAUGGGGGCAACCCUGAUCCAGCAACGCCGCGUGAGGGAAGAAGGCUUUCGGGUUGUAAACUUCUUUUAAGAGGGAAGAGCAGAAGACGGUACCUCUUGAAUAAGCCACGGCCAACUACGUGCCAGCAGCCGCGGGAAUAAGUAGGUGGCAAGCGUGGUCCGGAAUUACUGGGUGUAAAGGGCGCGUAGCCGGGCUGGCAAGUCAGAUGUGAAAUGCCGGGGCUCAACCCCGGGACUGCCUUUGAAACUGUUGGGCUUGAGUAUCGGAGAGGCAGGCGGAAUUCCUAGUGUAGCGGUGAAAUGCGUAGAUAUUAGGAGGAACACCAGUGGCGAAGGCGGCCUGCUGGACGACAACUGACGGUGAGGCGCGAAAGCGUGGGGAGCAAACAGGAUUAGAUACCCCAGUAGUC